AUAAAAUUUGGUCCUCACAUUUUCUAUGAUUACCACUAUAGUAUCUCUAAGAAGUUCCUCUUCUCCUCUUCUCCUCUUCUCUGAUCGAACAGAGGAUUUGCGUGGAGCUCCUCUUCUCCUCUUCUCCGAUCGAACAGGACUUGCGUGGAAGAUGAGCAGAGAAACCAAAUCAAUGAAACAGGGGAAGAUGAGCAGAGAAACCAAAUCAAUGAAGCAGGGGAAGAUGAGCAGAGAAACACGAGUGAUGCAGCGGGUUUAAGAAACAGGUGAGGUGCCGAGGUGCCGACGCAGCUAUAGGUAUACGCUACCGGAAAGGUGUUGUUCGCUGCAGAGUGAUAGUGCCGAGGUGCCGACGCAGAGUGAUAGUGCCGAGGUGCCGAGGGGCCGACGCAGCAACAGGUGAGAUGCCGAGGUGCCGACGCAGAGUGAUAGUGCCGAGGUGCCGAGGUGCCGACGCAGCAACAGGUGAGGUGCCGAGGUGCCGACGCAGAGUGAUAGUGCUGAGGUGCCGAGGUGCCGACGCAGCAACAGGUGAGGUGCCGAGGUGCCGACGCAGAGUGAUAGUGGGAGAAGAAAGGUGUGGGAGAAAUGUGUUGUUCGCCGCUGCAGAAGGGAGAGUAGAGCCUUUCAGGUAUACGCCACCGGAGCAGCGCCGUUCGGCAGGGAAAUUUAAAAACUGACAGCGAGUUCAUCAGUUAUUAAGAACUGACAGCGAGUGUUUCAAAUAUUAAGAACUGAGAGCGACCCUGCCUGCUCCAGCUGACGGAUUUGAGACUUAUUCCGAUCUCCUUUAUGAACCGCUCGUAGACUUUGAGUUCGAGCAAAUGAACAAGCUGUAUCUGUAUAAGGUAUAGAAGUUGGAUCAGAGGCAGUGCGGUAUCUUGGUGUUGGCGACGAAAAAGGUGAUUGGACUGAUUGCCUUGACCUUAGUAGUAGUUGAUAAUGCCCUUCUUCAGCGGUAAGUAGUGAAUACGAUUGAUUUCCAGUUAACAGUGGAGAAUUGCCUGUUCAAGUUCCAGGUAAGGAGUAAUAAGAAUAUGAAUAAGAAGCGGGAAGUUACGUUAUUGUGGAUGGAGUUAAACACUUUUCCUUUUUCGCCCUGCGUGACUCUCUGCCCAACACCGAGAAAUCUAAAGUAAGUAUUGGUACAUAAGUAUAAGAGUAAAGAGUACGUAGAUGAAUGUCUGAGGUCAAAGGUACUGUUUCCUCUUUCCCGAGUAGAGAUAGGUUAGUGCUCUAGCUCCUUGUCGUAUAGAGAAGAGAGGUUCAUCAGUUAUUACAAAACAGAGGUUCAUCAGUUAUUACAAAAGUACAGCGCCGUUCUUACGUAUUUUAUGGUCCAUCUUGUUUAUAAACUGCACUUACCCAAGAAUAUCAACCACUAAGGAACUAUAGUUUAGAAAUUUUGCCUCGUUUAUCUUCCUUUUGUGAAUAUUUAAGCUCUCCAGUGCUCAUAUCUUUAUUAGGCCACUUCCAAGAUCAUCUUCAAAGGUAUUCUUGACUUUCUUUUGUGAUGAAUCAGUACAGAUUGACCUUCUAUAUGUGUCCUCGUAAUCAUUAUCAUACUGACAUACAUCAAUAUCAUUGGUUUUCCACAUCAUAAUGUUUCUUAUGUUGUUGUUGACUUGUAAACUCUUGAUUAUACCAUCUUAUGCUCUGUUGGUUCUUUGUUAAAGAAAAACUUUUUCUGCUUGGAGAUUCAUAUAGGGAAUUUUACUUUGUUUUAUUUUUGACAUGUUUUUGGAACAAAUUUGUCCUUCAUUUUUUUUUUUCAUGCAUAGACCUCUGUCUGUGAUGCGGACCUAUGCAUCAAGCGUAGCAUUGCAUCUGGCUUGUGAGACACCUCUGAUCAUUAUUCAUCCUUGGGCCAGUCUUGCUGCAAGUUUUGCUUGAUUUACAUAAACAAAGUUCCCAUACAUGGCAUACUUAGCUUUGUUACACUUAUGGUGACAAGGAAAGGCCAGAUAAAAGAGAGCAAUUAAUUUCAAAGAUCGUUUUAUGCUGUUAUCUUUGCGGUGGUGACUCAAGUUUUCUUUUGUAAGUUGCCUAGUUAGGCUAUACAUGUUAUACCUUUAGCAAGGUUCAUUAAUGAUAUUCUAUUGGAACUAAUGGAUGGUUUUGUAUACAAAUUAUAUUAGUCCAAGAAAGAGUGUGACUAUCUGAUUGAGUUAGCGAAGCCUCACAUGGAGAAAUCAACAGUUGUUGAUAGUGCCACUGGUUGGAGUAAAGACAGCAGGUUUGCAUUUCACAGGGUGAGGACGAGUUCGAGCAUGUUUCUUAGAAGAGGAAAAGACAAAAUUAUCUGUGCAAUUGAGAAAAGGAUAGCAGAUUAUACCUUUAUACCUGUAGGUAGUAUUCAGCAUAUUAUACAAACUGAAGAACUUCAUCACUGGGUACUAUAAAAUCAGUUCUCCUACUUAAUGCACUAUAUUUUGGUCUUCUUGUGAGUUUUUAUAGCCAAUGAUUGUACAGUUUUUACUACUUUGUUUUGGAGCAUUUGCAAAGUACUUCUAACAUGUAUGUCUUUGUUUGAAAGUGAUUUAAAUCAUUUGGCUCAUAUCAUCCAUAACUGACAUAUUUGAGUCUUGGUCUGCUUUGUUGUGAAGUAUUACUUUUUUAAAAAUAUGUUAUUUUGACUACUGGUAUAUGUAAUAUUGUUGCAUGUGGAAGUUGCACUGAGUAUUUCAACGGGAUACCAUGUGCAGCUGAAAUGCUUGUUCACACUGAUCAUUAUAUACUGAAAUGUCAUUAUCACAAAGUCUGAUUGCGUAGUACUUGAUUAUAAACAUCAGCAUCAUGAUUUCUUUGAUAAUAUUUCAUAUUCGGUCAUCUUUUUCUUUUUAGAAUGUCAUAAUAUUUAUUCACUGUGGAAUAAUAAUAAAUUGAAAAAGUAUAUAAUUGUUUGACUUUUACACUAUUAAUGGUGGUAUAUAUCAGCGCUUUAGUAAAAUUGCAGUUCAUCAAAGUGAUAAAACCACUACUCUCUUGGCCAAAAUAACUUAUGCAUCUCUAUUCUAGUAUCAGUUUCUCAAGGGUGCUUUUUUUUUCUUCAGAUGCCUUUCUUUUUCUUUUUUUUCCUUUCUUUUUUUAUCUCUCACCUAAAAUUUGGUUUUAUAUUUUUACGGAACACGGUGAGGGUCUUCAGGUUCUCCAUUAUGAAGUUGGUCAGAAAUACGAUCCGCACUAUGAUUCUUUCCAUGAUGAAUUCAAUACCAAGAAUGGGGGUCAACGUAUUGCUACCCUUCUCAUGUAUCUUAUAUCUGUUGCUCAGUUCUCAUGUUGAGGAAGGUGGUGAAACUGUGUUUCCCUUCUGAGAAGGUAAAUAGCAGUUCUUUACCAUGGUAUAAUGAGCUAUCAGACUGUGCAAAGCAGUUUCUUUCUGUUAAAACCAAAAGAUGGGAGAUGCAUUACUCUUCUGGAGCAUGAGGCCAGAUGCCACUCCAGAUCCAUCUAGUUUGCACGGUGGAUGUCCUGUUAUUAAAGGAAAUAAGUGGUCUUCUACAAAGUGGAUGCGCAUGCAUGAGUACAGGGCUUAGCUACCAAACUAAACAAGAAUUUUCCUGUCAUCAUGAUUCAUGAUGAGAUACGAAGCAGACCUAGAGAUGGCAACCUGAGAUACGAAGCAGCAGACCUAUCGUCAGUCUUGAUGAUAGUAGCAGUGAUGCUCGGGAUGGUUAGAGAAAAAGAGGAUGAUAUGAGGCAUAUAAAGUAACCUUAUAAAUUCUUGAUUCCGGUGGUUGGGGAUGUAAAUGUAUGACAAAGCAACUUUAGUCUCCUUUUUUUCAAACUCACAAGAAUAUAAAUGUUCACCAAAUGGGUUAUGGUUA